UGAUGGCGACCGGCGCACGGGUGAGUAACACGUAUCCAACCUGCCUACCACUCGGGGAUAGCCUUUCGAAAGAAAGAUUAAUACCCGAUAGUAUGAUAAUAGGGCAUCCUAUUUUCAUUAAAGAAUUUCGGUGGUUGAUGGGGAUGCGUUCCAUUAGUUUGUUGGCGGGGUAACGGCCCACCAAGACAUCGAUGGAUAGGGGUUCUGAGAGGAAGGUCCCCACAUUGGAACUGAGACACGGUCCAA
rnacentral:rRNA from 1 species